rnacentral:rRNA from 1 species
UACGGGGGGGGGCAAGCGUUGUUCGGAAUUACUGGGCGUAAAGGGCUCGUAGGUGGCCAACUAAGUCAGACGUGAAAUCCCUCGGCUUAACCGGGGAACUGCGUCUGAUACUGGAUGGCUAGAGUUUGGGAGAGGGAUGCGGAAUUCCAGGUGUAGCGGUGAAAUGCGUAGAGAUCGGGAGGAACACCGGUGGCGAAGGCGGGUCUCUGGGCCGUAACUGACGCUGAGGAGCGAAAGCAUGGGGAGCGAACAGG